UCUGAAUCUGCGUACGGCUCCGCAAACCAGUUGUAAACUAUUGCUAGCACGCUCAUCGUCUUCGGAUGGUGGGCUAUAAGGAUAAACCUGGUAAUUCUGAGGCUAAUACUCGACCGUAAAACUCGCUGGUCUGGGUAACUGGUAAGGCGAGGGACGUGUAAUUGAUCGCAGGAGAUGCCGGGAAAGGAUGCACGUUCUGACCACCAUACAAACAGUAUCCUGGAAGCUCGCAAGGGCAGAAGGGUGUCUGGGUGGCUCUAGCAUUGUGCUUCUGACCUAUCAACUAGAUGGCAGUGUAAGGGACAUGCCAUGGU
rnacentral:rRNA from 1 species